AAGUCGUAACAAGGUUUCCGUAGGUGAACCUGCGGAAGGAUCAUUACCAAAUCCAAAACACAUAUCAACACCUCUUGUGCAUCCUAACCGAUGUUUUGUUUGCGUUGCCGUGCUCUGUGUGGUUUUGCAUUGCGGGCGCGGGGCAUCUCUGCCGAGGUGCGCCGUGGCCGUGAGAGGGACCCGCGGGGCUUGACACGGGGGCGCAAGCGAAUAAAACUGAAGAACACGCCUGUGUGAACCAAGUCUUAUCUGACCGAAUGAUUGUUGUCGUUUGGUCAUGCGUGCGCUGUGGAGCGGAGAGACACUGCUUUUUCGAAAAGGAGUGUGUUAUCUGUGCCAUUGUGCAGGUGUGAAAACAAAGCAAACCCGAACAACUUUUAACGGUGGAUCUCUUGGCUCGUGCAUCGAUGAAGAACGCAGCCAGCUGCGAUACGUAAUGUGAAUUGCAGAAUUCAGUGAAUCAUCGAAUCUUUGAACGCAAAUUGCGCUUCAGGUUUUACUGGAGCACGUCUGCCUGAGUGUCAUUCUAACACAUACUCGAUCCAGCGCUUGCUUGAUGCGGGCGGUGGUGUCGGCAGUGCGGCGAUUGCAGGACGGGCAUUGAUGCAUCUAUAUAUAUAUAGUAUGCGGGUGUGCCUGUGAGUGCAGGGCCGUUAAGUGUUGGUUGCAGCGAUGCAAUUACAGGACGGACCGCAGUAAAGCAGCGGGCCAUCACGUCUCUGAGCUAUACACAUUGGUGUGGCAUAUACGAGCUAUGCUUGUAGUAAGUUCGCCUGUGUGCUGAUGGAGAAUGUGUGGGCGGCUGUGUGCGGGAUGAACCGUGCAGGAAUGAAUCUAUGAAAGCUAUGAACCUCAGAUCAGUCGAGACUACCCGCUAAAUUUAGCAUAU
rnacentral:rRNA from 1 species